AUUGAACGCUGGCGGCAGGCUUAACACAUGCAAGUCGAGCGAGCGGCGGACGGGUGAGUAAUGUCUGGGAACCUGCCUGAUGGAGGGGGAUAACUACUGGAAACGGUAGCUAAUACCGCAUACCAUCAGAUGUGCCCAGGUGGGAUUGGCUAGUAGGUGGGGUAAUGGCUCACAUAGGCGACGAUCCCUAGCUGGUCUGAGAGGAUGACCAGCCACAAUGGAACUGAGACACGGUCCAGACUCCUACGGGAGGAAGCAGUGGGGAAUAUUGCACAAUGGGCGCAAGCCUGAUGCAGCAAUGCCGCGUGGGUGAAGAAGGCCUUCGGGUUGUAAAGCACUUUCAGCGAGGAGGCGGUACUCGCAGAAGAAGCAACGGCUAACUCCGUGCCAGCAGCCGCGGUAAUAC
rnacentral:rRNA from 1 species